AUUGAACGCUGGCGGCAGGCCUAACACAUGCAAGUCGAACGAGUGGCGGACGGGUGAGUAAUGUCUGGGAAACUGCCUGAUGGAGGGGGAUAACUACUGGAAACGGUAGCUACUAACGCCUACCAUCGGCUGUGCCCAGAUGGGAUUAGCUAGUAGGUGGGGUAACGGCUCACCAAGGCGACGAUCCCUAGCUGGUCUGAGAGGAUGAACAGCCACACUGGAACUGAGAAACGGUCCAGACUCCUACGGGAGGCAGCAGUGGGGAAUAUUGGACAAUGGGCGAAAGCCUGAUCCAGCCAUGCCGCGUGUGUGAAGAAGGUCUUCGGAUUGUAAAGCACUUUAAGUUGGGAGGCGUUACCAACAGAAUAAGCACCGGCUAACUUCGUGCCAGCAGCCGCGGUAAUAC
rnacentral:rRNA from 1 species